GCACACUUCAUAGCCACCUACCUAUCCUGUGCACCUAUCACAGUGGGCGGACGUUCACGAUAUUUUAACCUAUAACUUAAGUAUUGAUCAUUUCUCUUAGUCUUAACUUGUAAACAGAAAAUCAAUCUCUAGUAAUGAAUGAGGUCACUUUCAAAUUCAUACAUCCUGACCCGAGCUUGUAGAGGGUAAUAUAUUGACCUAACAUUAAUUUGUUUUUAUUAUUCUUAACCUGAAAACGGAAAAUCAAUCUCUAGUAAUGAAUGAGGUCACUUUCAAAUUCAUAUAUCCUGACCCGAGCUUAUAGAGGGUAAUAUAUUGACCUAACAUUAAUUUAUUUCUCUUAUUCUUAACCUGAAAACGGAAAAUCAAUCUCAUAAUGAAUGAUCUGCCAUAACUUGAGGUCACUUUCAGAUUCAUAUCCUGACGCGAGCUUGUAGAGAGUGACAUUUUGACCUAACGUUCUUUUAUUUCUCUGAUUCUUAACUUGAAAAUGGAAAAUCAAUCUCGUAAUGAAUGAUCUGCCAUAAUGAGGUCACUUUCAGAUUCAUAUAGCCUGACCCGAGGUUGUAGAGAGUAAUAUAUUGACCCAACUUCCAUUUAUUUCUCUUAUUCUUAACCUGAAAACGGAAAAUCAAUCUUCAGUAGUGAAUGAUCUGCCAUAACUUGAGGUCACUUCCAGAUUCAUAUCCUGACGCAAGCUUGUAGAGAUUGAUAUAUUGACCUAACGUUCAUUUAUUUCUCUUAUUCUUAACCUGAAAACAGAAAAUCAAUCUUUAGUAAUGAAUAAUCUCCCAUGACUCAUUCCCAACCCUGUUUGUUUAAUGGUUGAAUCUUAGUAUAUUCAUGUGAUGUCCCACUGUGAUGGAGUGCACAGGAGUCAAGUCUUUCUCCUCACAUUCCCUUCCUUCUUGGGCCUUACUGGUGGAGGUGACGCUGGGCAUGACGGUGGUGUGCUUGGUGAGAAGGAGAGAGAGAAUGAAGGGCUGGGUACAGUGUCUCUCUCUCGCCAGGUCCUUCUUUGUCUGUCUCGAUAUGUGUUGUAGUUCCUUGGUGAGAGGGAGAGAGAGAAUGAAGGGCUGGGUACAGUGUCUCUCUCUCGCCAGGUCCUUCUUUGUCUGUCUCGAUAUGUAUUGUAGUUCCUUGGUGAGAGGGAGAGAGAGAAUGAAGGGCUGGGAACAAUGUCUCUCUCGCCAGGUCCUUCUUUGUCUGUCUCACGAUAUCCACACCUCACAUGAAUUUGACCC